rnacentral:rRNA from 1 species
CCGGGCCUACGGGGGGCAGCAGUGAGGAAUAUUGGUCAAUGGACAAGAGUCUGAACCAGCCAAGUAGCGUGAAGGAUGACUGCCCUAUGGGUUGUAAACUUCUUUUAUAUGGGAGUAAAAUGUUCCACGUGUGGGAUUUUGUAUGUACCAUAUGAAUAAGGAUCGGCUAACUCCGUGCCAGCAGCCGCGGUAAUACGGAGGAUCCGAGCGUUAUCCGGAUUUAUUGGGUUUAAAGGGAGCGUAGGUGGAUUGUUAAGUCAGUUGUGAAAGUUUGCGGCGCAACCGUAAAAUUGAAGGUGAAACUG